rnacentral:lncRNA from 1 species
CUACCCCACCCUAAACCGAAUCGACCCAACCCAACCUAAUACCCAAAUCAAUUUCCCAACGUAAACGCCUAUACACACAAUACAUGAGGUCUAAGAGAAGGGCUGCGCAGCUGGGGCUGCUUCUUCACAAAGGCACACGCUUGUAGAGACAAUACAUACAUGCUUGGAAAAGCUGUGCAACACUCAGCUCUCUUCUUCUCCGACAAUUUUUUCUCAAAGAAAGAGACGAACAAACCCAUUUUCGAACCUCACCACCCUUUCCCCUCUCCUUUCUCAUCUUGUUCGAUGAUAGCGCUUUCAGAUCUGGAAAUUUCGAAUAAACAACGGGUUUUCAAUUGAUUGGCUGGGUGAUAGUUGAUUGUUGAAUCAGGGACUGCUUUGUUGGGUUGUCUUUGCUCAUGUUGCAAGAGCUCGUCUUGUUUUGUGGUGGUCUGAGUUUGUUCUGUUCUGGCUUCUUAAACUCGGGAUUGUAUUCAAAGAUGGUGUAAUUAAUAGGGAAAUACAAUGUGCGAAAUUUGUUUGCAGGUUUGACUUUUGCUUCUUCUUUAUUUCGAUUCCAAGAAAUGAAAUUAACAACACUGAUUCUUUUUCUUUAUGAGCAAAUUUGCCGUUGUUUGCGUCAUUGUUAUACACUUCACGUAGAAUGUAAUAAAUAAUUUUGUUGUAGAUUUUUUUUUUCUUCCGUUUUUGUCUAAUAAUUAUGUGAUGUUUUAUUUAGUUGUUUCAAGUUAAUCUAUUUAAAAGAUAACAAAUACUUUAAGCUAUUAUAGGCAAGGUCAAUUUUUGGCUUAUGAUCCAUCAGUUGAAAAGGAAAAUAAUUGUUUCAUUGUUAUUGAUUUAUCUUUGUGCAAUCUAUGGAAAAGAAGACCAAGUCAGUGAGUAUGUGCCUUUAAAAGAACAAAUACAUAACUUCAGGCAGUGUAAUUGAUGAUCAAGUCUUCCUUUGUUUAUAAGGCUAUUUUCUCUCGAAAUCAAUUGCCUAAUUACAUGUGAGAUGAAUCUAUUGU